AUGGUAUGAACUUGAAUCUCAACUUUUUUCAGGCUCAAUAAUAUUACACAGUCCUACAAACUGCAUAACUACCUGCAGAAUUGUAUUGAAUGGUUAAGCUUGGAAGGGACCUCUGGAGGUCACCUGGUCCUACCACCCUGCUCAAACACACACUGCCUUAUAACAAGUGCAAAAUGGCAUCCUACCUUUGCAACCCCUGUUAAGAGUCAUCUCAGCUCAUUUACUGGGCACUAGGUCAGCUCCUACUGAAGUCAAGGUUUUUGUUGCUUUCUGGGUUUCUCACAGCAACUCUAGAAGUCCUUAAAAACAGUUAUUUUGCUAUGCAUGAUGCCUCAGGUCACCACACUGAGGAAAAUUCCUGAAUUCUUCCAACCUGAAAUUUCUCUCCAUUGCAGUCCAGUCAAUUUGCAGGCAUUUAAAACCAGCUCUGUAACUUAUUGUUAGCCUUCAAAAUAACUUCUCUUAAAAAUAAAUUCUACUGAUGAAACUAUUCUGCAGCUGCAUUUUCCAGCUGGCUUGAGGCAACUGAAAUUUUAGCUUUCCAAAUGAAAGAAUCUCAGCUCCAAAGAGGUCCAUGUCAGUUCAGGUCCCUUGUGCAAGCUGGUGUAGGCACACUAAGCUCUUCUCCAUAGAAGUUCUUUCCAGUGAUCGCUAUUGAGCAAACCUCGGUUAAUAAGCAGCCUUACCAAUUAUGUUUUAUUCAAGAAAAAGUAGAGUAGAAUGUAAGUUAACUUGUGUGGAAUGAAAACGUAUUCAGUCUCUUCUGUCUCUUUGCUAGCAAGAAGAAACCUCUCUUUCUGAGGGCGAAAGGGCAUUUAAUCACAUACUUGUUUCCAGAACCUGGAGAUUUAGCCCCACAGGACUGGCUUACCAAGGAUUAUGAUGUGAAGACCUGUUACCAAAUCUUAAGCUUCACCAGCCGUGUUGUUCACACCAUUGCAGCACCCAGAUGUGGAUUUCCGCUAUACUUCCCAGUGAUUUGGUUAAUUUUGGACCCUUAAUGGACACCUUCAGAGUGGAAAAGGAAGGCCAAGGUGACUUCACAUCUGUCAUCCAGGCCGAGUUAAGGACUGUGAAUGAUUGCUUGCUGCUCAGGUCAAAUAGUUUUCUACCCAGAACUUGCUGGCUACGGCUGCAGCCCUAGUAGAAUGGAAAUCAAACCAAACAGAGGUAUCAAGUUUUGGCUAAUCUGUUUUCAUCAGGAUAUUUGAUACAAAGUAUUAAAAUGAAGAUUAUUGAUAUUUUAAAGAAAAAUAAAUCAGAUAAAUUACAUAUUACUUAUUACA
rnacentral:lncRNA from 1 species